CCUGUCCCUAAACGUAUCCGACUUCUUAUAAACCG
rnacentral:sRNA from 1 species